AUGGCAAGGUAUUGGUGGAGUAGUUCCAUUGACAAAAGGACACUUCAUUGGAUCUCCUGGAAGGAACUAGCAAAACCAAAAUGCCAGGGAGGGAUGAGAUUUCGCGAUCUCCACAUGUUCAACCUGGUUCUCCUUGGCAAACAUGGCUAGCGUUUUAUGACAAAUCCAACGUCACUUUGCGCGAGAGUUAUGAAGGGCAGGUAUUUUCCGGAUUCGGAUUUCCUGCAUGCUUCGGCACCUAAAGCCGCCUCAGCUACUUGGCGGGCAAUCAUUGCUGGACGUGAAGCUCUGCAUGCGGGGAUAGUUCAGCGUGUUGGGGAUGGCACCUCAAUCAAUCCAUGGACAGACAAAUGGAUCCCAACAACGCUAACUAGAACCCCUCUGUUCAAACCGGCCGGUACGAGCAUCACUCAGGUCAGCGAGCUCAUUGACUCAGAGAACUGGACCUGGCGUCAGGAACUAGUUCGAGACAACUUUAUCGCACCAGACGCGGAGGCAAUUUUGAACAUUCCUCUUCGACGCGGUGGGGGCGAAGACACAUUGGCAUGGGCACAUGAGAGAACAGGCAUCUACACUGUUAAGUCAGCGUACCGCGCUCUAGUGAUUCAGAAAGAGCAUCAAGCUCGAGAAGAAGGGCAGGUUACCGAACCUUCAGUAAGCAAGCAGCAGUUGUGGAAGUCGCUAUGA
rnacentral:rRNA from 1 species